GUGAGGAAUAUUGGUCAAUGGCCGAAAGGCUGAACCAGCGACGCCGCGUGGGCGAUGAAGGCUUUCGGGUCGUAAAGCCCUUUUCUGCGUGACGAGGAAGGACGGUAGCGCAGGAAGAAGCGUCGGCUAACUACGUGCCAGCAGCCGCGGUAAAACGUAGGACGCAAGCGUUAUCCGGAGUUACUGGGCGUAAAGGGCGUGUAGGCGGCUUCUCAAGUUCGUCGUGAAAGACCCCGGCUCAACCGGGGGAGGUCGAGGGAGACUGAGGAGCUGGAGGACGGUAGAGGGACAGGGAAUUCCGGGUGUAGUGGUGAAAUGCGUAGAGAUCCGGAGGAACACCAGUGGCGAAGGCGCUGUCCUGGGCCGACCCUGACGCUGAGACGCGACAGCAUGGGGAGCGAACGGGAUUAGAUACCCCAGUAGUCC
rnacentral:rRNA from 1 species